AAGGUCGAGCGGACAGAAGGGAGCUUGCUCCCGGAUGUUAGCGGCGGACGGGUGAGUAACACGUGGGUAACCUGCCUGUAAGACUGGGAUAACUCCGGGAAACCGGAGCUAAUACCGGAUAGUUCCUUGAACCGCAUGGUUCAAGGAUGAAAGACGGUUUCGGCUGUCACUUACAGAUGGACCCGCGGCGCAUUAGCUAGUUGGUGAGGUAACGGCUCACCAAGGCGACGAUGCGUAGCCGACCUGAGAGGGUGAUCGGCCACACUGGGACUGAGACACGGCCCAGACUCCUACGGGAGGCAGCAGUAGGGAAUCUUCCGCAAUGGACGAAAGUCUGACGGAGCAACGCCGCGUGAGUGAUGAAGGUUUUCGGAUCGUAAAGCUCUGUUGUUAGGGAAGAACAAGUGCAAGAGUAACUGCUUGCACCUUGACGGUACCUAACCAGAAAGCCACGGCUAACUACGUGCCAGCAGCCGCGGUAAUACGUAGGUGGCAAGCGUUGUCCGGAAUUAUUGGGCGUAAAGGGCUCGCAGGCGGUUUCUUAAGUCUGAUGUGAAAGCCCCCGGCUCAACCGGGGAGGGUCAUUGGAAACUGGGAAACUUGAGUGCAGAAGAGGAGAGUGGAAUUCCACGUGUAGCGGUGAAAUGCGUAGAGAUGUGGAGGAACACCAGUGGCGAAGGCGACUCUCUGGUCUGUAACUGACGCUGAGGAGCGAAAGCGUGGGGAGCGAACAGGAUUAGAUACCCUGGUAGUCCACGCCGUAAACGAUGAGUGCUAAGUGUUAGGGGGUUUCCGCCCCUUAGUGCUGCAGCUAACGCAUUAAGCACUCCGCCUGGGGAGUACGGUCGCAAGACUGAAACUCAAAGGAAUUGACGGGGGGCCCGCACAAGCGGUGGAGCAUGUGGUUUUAUUCGAAGCAACGCGAAGAACCUUACCAGGUCUUGACAUCCUCUGACAACCCUAGAGAUAGGGCUUUCCCUUCGGGGACAGAGUGACAGGUGGUGCAUGGUUGUCGUC
rnacentral:rRNA from 1 species